GCGAACGCUGGCGGAAUGCUUAACACAUGCAAGUCGCACGGCCGUUGGGGUGACUCUGGCGGCAGUGGCGGACGGGUGCGUAACGCGUAGGAACAUGUCCGGAGGUGGGGGACAACCCUGGGAAACUGGGGCUAAUACCGCAUAGGCCCUGUGGGGCAAAGCCGUAAGGCGCCUUUGGAGUGGCCUGCGUCCGAUUAGCUGGUUGGUGGGGUAACGGCCUACCAAGGCUUCGAUCGGUAGCUGGUCUGAGAGGACGAUCAGCCACACUGGGACUGAGACACGGCCCAGACUCCUACGGGAGGCAGCAGUGGGGAAUAUUGGACAAUGGGGGCAACCCUGAUCCAGCAAUUCCGCGUGGGUGAAGAAGGUCUUCGGAUUGUAAAGCCCUUUCGGCGGGGACGAUGAUGACGGUACCCGCAGAAGAAGCCCCGGCUAACUUCGUGCCAGCCGCCGCGGUAAUU
rnacentral:rRNA from 1 species